UUGAACGCUGGCGGCAGGCCUAACCCAUGCAAGUCGAACGGUAACAGGAAGAAGCUUGCUUCUUUGCUGACGAGUGGCGGACGGGUGAGUAAUGUCUGGGAAACUGCCUGAUGGAGUGGGAUAACUACUGGAAACGGUAGCUAAUACCGCAUAACGUCGCAAGACCAAAGAGGGGGACCUUCGGGCCUCUUGCCAUCGGAUGUGCCCAGAUGGGAUUAGCUAGUAGGUGGGGUAACGGCUCACCUAGGCGACGAUCCCUAGCUGGUCUGAGAGGAUGACCAGCCACACUGGAACUGAGACACGGUCCAGACUCCUACGGGAGGCAGCAGUGGGGAAUAUUGCACAAUGGGCGCAAGCCUGAUGCAGCCAUGCCGCGUGUAUGAAGAAGGCCUUCGGGUUGUAAAGUACUUUCAGCGGGGAGGAAGGGAGUAAAGUUAAUACCUUUGCUCAUUGACGUUACCCGCAGAAGAAGCACCGGCUAACUCCGUG
rnacentral:rRNA from 1 species